rnacentral:rRNA from 1 species
UACGUGGGGGGCAAGCGUUGUUCGGAAUUACUGGGCGUAAAGGGCUCGUAGGCGGCCAACUAAGUCGGACGUGAAAUCCCUCGGCUUAACCGGGGAACUGCGUCCGAUACUGGAUGGCUUGAGAUUGGGAGAGGGAUGCGGAAUUCCAGGUGUAGCGGUGAAAUGCGUAGAUAUCAAGAGGAACACCGGUGGCGAAGGCGGGGUCUCUGGGGCCGAUACUGACGUGAGGAGCGAAAGCGUGGGGGAGCGAACAGG